CAGUAGUUAGAUGGGCGGACGUAAGUCCAAAGCAACAUAAAUUUUGCAACCGGUUGCUAAUUGCAUUGGGUUUACGUCUAUUUUAACCUUUAUGGUUAAUCUGGUGAAUGGUUUGAGGAGUAGCUCACAGUUGCUACAAUCCCUCAAACAAGACUGUUUGUAUCCUUCUCGCUGGAUACCGCCCGUUAAAUACAUUGUCCUACCGUAUAGGAAAAUGUAUAACUAAAACAAACAGUCGUUCUUCUAUUUUUGACAGCCAUUUUUACAGAUAUAACUCAAUCAUUACCCAUGGUUAUGAAGAGCAAUGCCAGAAAUAACAAAUUUAUAAUACAAAUCGCUGCGUCACAAUUAAAAGAACUGCAGCCUCCAGCGUAUCGCGAAGCCGCAACACGACUAAUGCCGGCCGCCACAUAGAGUACAUGGACAGCUCGCUCGCUCCCCGCAGCAGAGGCACCACAACAACGACAUCUGUCGUCCCUGACACCAUGGACAAUGAAAAAUACAAAUCGCUACGUCACAAUUAGAAGAACUGCAGUCUCCAGCGUCUCGCGAAGCCGCAACACGACUAAUGCCGGCCGCCACAUAGAGUACAUGGACAGCUCGCUCGCUCCCCGCAGCAGAGGCACCACAACAACGACGUCUGCCAUCCCCGACACCAUGGACAAUGAAAAACACAAAUCACUUGCAAAUACGACAUCGCUACGAUUUUGAAGUCAUGACGUUUUCUACACCCUAAACCUUCAUCUUCAACUCAACCAAAAUGUUACAACUCAAUUGCAACUACAAAGCAUCGGAGCCUGGAACAACAACUGGACAACGCGCGCAGCUCCGCGGCCGAGACUGCGGGACUGCACUGAGACCAUGCAAACAACGUCCGCCGCCGCUAAACGCUAUAAACAAUACACAUUUGACCGACCCAAAAUCGUAUGGGAGCAUUUGUAGCAACGUUGAGCCUUCAUCCCGCCUAAAAUUACCUGAAAACUGUGCAGAAAGCUCCAGACCUGCGUUUUAUUAACUAAUAAUUGUUGUGUAUAAUAUAUACACUAUCUUUUUAUUCUAUUUAAUAAAAUCGUAUUAAAAAUGAAAA